rnacentral:rRNA from 1 species
GAUGGACGCUGGCGGCGUGCCUAAUACAUGCAAGUCGAGCGAACGGACGAGAAGCUUGCUUCUCUGAUGUUAGCGGCGGACGGGUGAGUAACACGUGGAUAACCUACCUAUAAGACUGGGAUAACUUCGGGAAACCGGAGCUAAUACCGGAUAAUAUUUUGAACCGCAUGGUUCAAAAGUGAAAGACGGUCUUGCUGUCACUUAUAGAUGGAUCCGCGCUGCAUUAGCUAGUUGGUAAGGUAACGGCUUACCAAGGCAACGAUGCAUAGCCGACCUGAGAGGGUGAUCGGCCACACUGGAACUGAGACACGGUCCAGACUCCUACGGGAGGCAGCAGUAGGGAAUCUUCCGCAAUGGACGAAAGCCUGACGGAGCAACGCCGCGUGAGUGAUGAAGGUCUUCGGAUCGUAAAACUCUGUUAUUAGGGAAGAACAUAUGUGUAAGUAACUGUGCACAUCUUGACGGUACCUAAUCAGAAAGCCACGGCUAACUACGUG